UACGUAGGGGCGAGCGUUGUCCGGAGUUACUGGGCGUAAAGGGCACGCAGGCGGUGCGGCGCGUUUCGCGUGACAGCGGAGGGCUUAACUCUCCGAGGAUGCGAAAGACGGCGGCACUUGAGGGCCAGAGAGGGACACGGAAUUCCGGGUGGAGUGGUGAAAUGCGUAGAGAUCCGGAGGAACACCGAAGGCGAAGGCAGUGUCCUGGCUGGUGACUGACGCUGAGGUGCGAAAGCUAGGGGAGCGAACGGG
rnacentral:rRNA from 1 species